rnacentral:rRNA from 1 species
AAUUGGAGGGCAAGUCUGGUGCCAGCAGCCGCGGUAAUUCCAGCUCCAAUAGCGUAUAUUAAAGUUGUUGCAGUUAAAAAGCUCGUAGUUGAAUUUCGGGGUCAGCAGGUCGGUCGUGCCUACGGUAUGCACUGGCCUUGCUGAUUCCUCCCUCUUGAUGAGCCGUAAUGCCAUUAAUUUGGUGUUGCGGGGAAUCAGGACUGUUACUUUGAAAAAAUUAGAGUGUUUAAAGCAGGCAAGCGCUUGAAUACAUUAGCAUGGAAUAAUGAAAUAGGACGUUCGAUCCUAUUUUGUUGGUUUCUAGGAUUGACGUAAUGAUUAAUAGGGAUAGUUGGGGGCAUUAGUAUUCAAUUGUCAGAGGUGAAAUUCUUGGAUUUAUUGAAGACUAACUACUGCGAAAGCAUUUGCCAAGGAUGUUUUCAUUAAUCAAGAACGAAAGUUAGGGGAUCGAAGACGAUCAGAUACCGUCGUAGUCUUAACCAUAAACUAUGCCGACUAGGGAUCGGAUGAUGUUAAUUUUUAAUGACUCAUUCGGCGCCUUACGGGAAACCAAAGUGU